AGACGGAGUUAUGAUAGGAAAACCGAAACGAAAAGCCCUUCAUAUGAGCGCGGUCCUGACAGACAGGGAUUCUCCUCCUCUUCCUCCUUGAAGAGCCGCUAUGAUUCCCGAAGCCAGUCCCCUGUGGGGAGGAUAGAGACCAAUGUCAUAUCAAGUCAAAUUAAAGAGAGUCGACGAAGUGCGUCUCCAGUCAGAAAGGGCUAUGGAACACCAAGCCAAUCAGAUCGAAGAUCAAUGUCUAAUGGGUUGAGUCGUGAGAGAAAAAGCCCCUCCCCAUCCAGAAAAACCUAUGAGACGCAAAUCCAAGCCACAAUGAAGAAACCAGAAGCAAAAAGCUCCCUUCACAGCUACAACCGAGAGAGCCGACACAGUUCCCCAAGUAGAGGUCAUCACCAAAUCCCUGGCCCAUCAUCGCUUCGUAAGUCCGAAACAAGCCAGUCCUCGAAAAACCGUGGCUCUGAAAGCCGCAGUCCUUCCCCCUUAGCUCAUAGCCAAUCUCCUCCUCGCAAGUCAGAGAGUGGGCGGAGCCCCUCUUUGUCUACAUUGAGGCGUGAGAUUGCAGGCCACGCCCCUCUGAGGAACACUGUGAGUGGCUCCGCCUCUUACGUAAGAAACACCACGACUAGCCAUUCACAGCACGAUUCAUCAGGAGGCUGGAGAGGCUCCGCCCACUCUCUCCACAGCCAGUCAGUCUCACGAAACUCCUCCCCCUCACGCCACAGUAGUGAGAAGAAACCAACUGGUUCCUUUACGAAAUCCGCCUGGGAAACACCACGAGACGGAAGCAAGAGGAGCAGCGUGAGGCAGAACCUAGAAGCACAGAGCUCCACGUCUGACAACCGACGAGCACAAAGUCGACACAGAAGCCCCUCGCCUCCGGUCCAAAGACACACGUCUUCUCAGAGCUCCAUGGAGUCCGAGUCGAGUCACCUCUCGGCCGGGUCGUCGGGUCUCAACCGGGAGGAGUAUGCCAUGAUGGCUGACCUUCCCAAGGUCAAAACGGUCUUCCAGAGGGAGGGUCCGAGCCACCUGAGGAAGAUGGAGAGCAGACAGAAACGAGAGCUUUCCCGCUACAAACCGGCCAGUCACUCCCAGAGCAAAGCUCCUUCGGAAUGGGAUGAACUGGAGGAUGACAGAGACAGUGGUACACUAUCAAGGGCACACUCGUCCAGCUCCCUACACACACAGGUAAAUAAACACAU
rnacentral:lncRNA from 1 species